rnacentral:rRNA from 1 species
GCUUACACAUGCAAGUCGAACGAUGAUCUCCAGCUUGCUGGGGGGAUUAGUGGCGAACGGGUGAGUAACACGUGAGUAACCUGCCCUUAACUCUGGGAUAAGCCUGGGAAACUGGGUCUAAUACCGGAUAUGACUCCUCAUCGCAUGGUGGGGGGUGGAAAGCUUUUUGUGGUUUUGGAUGGACUCGCGGCCUAUCAGCUUGUUGGUGAGGUAAUGGCUCACCAAGGCGACGACGGGUAGCCGGCCUGAGAGGGUGACCGGCCACACUGGGACUGAGACACGGCCCAGACUCCUACGGGAGGCAGCAGUGGGGAAUAUUGCACAAUGGGCGAAAGCCUGAUGCAGCGACGCCGCGUGAGGGAUGACGGCCUUCGGGUUGUAAACCUCUUUCAGUAGGGAAGAAGCGAAAGUGACGGUACCUGCAGAAGAAGCGCCGGCUAACUACGUGCCAGCAGCCGCGGUAAUACGUAGGGCGCAAGCGUUAUCCGGAAUUAUUGGGCGUAAAGAGCUCGUAGGCGGUUUGUCGCGUCUGCCGUGAAAGUCCGGGGCUCAACUCCGGAUCUGCGGUGGGUACGGGCAGACUAGAGUGAUGUAGGGGAGACUGGAAUUCCUGGUGUAGCGGUGAAAUGCGCAGAUAUCAGGAGGAACACCGAUGGCAAAUGCAGGUCUCUGGGCAUUAACUGACGCUGAGGAGCGACAGCAUGG